rnacentral:rRNA from 1 species
GAUCAUGGCUCAGAUUGAGCGCUGGCGGCAUGCCUUACACAUGCAAGUCGAACGGCAGCGGGCCUUCGGGUGCCGGCGAGUGGCGAACGGGUGAGUAAUGCAUCGGAACGUGCCAUUGAGUGGGGAUAACGUAGCGAAAGUUACGCUAAUACCGCAUAUUCUGUGGGCAGGAAAGCAGGGGACCGCAAGGCCUUGCGCUCUUUGAGCGGCCGAUGUCAGAUUAGCUAGUUGGUGAGGUAAAGGCUUACCAAGGCGACGAUCUGUAGCGGGUCUGAGAGGAUGAUCCGCCACACUGGAACUGAGACACGGUCCAGACUCCUACGGGAGGCAGCAGUGGGGAAUUUUGGACAAUGGGCGCAAGCCUGAUCCAGCCAUGCCGCGUGAGUGAAGAAGGCCUUCGGGUUGUAAAGCUCUUUCGGCCGGGAAGAAAUCGCAUGGGUUAAUACCCUGUGUGGAUGACGGUACCGGAAUAAGAAGCACCGGCUAACUACGUG